rnacentral:rRNA from 1 species
UGGGGAAUAUUGCGCAAUGGGCGAAAGCCUGACGCAGCGACGCCGUGUGAGGGAAGAAGGCUUUCGGGUCGUAAACCUCUGUCGGGAGGGAAGAACCCCCAGGAGUCGAACAGGCUCUUGGGCUGACGGUACCUCCGAAGGAAGCACCGGCUAACUCCGUGCCAGCAGCCGCGGUAAUACGGAGGGUGCGAGCGUUAAUCGGAAUCACUGGGCGUAAAGCGCACGUAGGCGGUGCCGUAAGUCGGAUGUGAAAGCCCUCGGCUCAACCGGGGGAACUGCAUUCGAUACUGCGGUGCUUGAGUGCCGGAGAGGGUGGCGGAAUUCCAGGUGUAGGAGUGAAAAUCCGUAGAUAUCUGGAGGAACACCAGUGGCGAAGGCGGCCACCUGGCCGGCAACUGACGCUGAGGUGCGAAAGCGUGGGGAUCAAAACAGGGAUUAGAUACCCCUGGUAGUCCACGCUGUAAAACGAUGGAUACUAGGUGUCGGGGGGUUUACCCUCGGUGCCGCAGUUAACGCGUUAAGUAUCCCGCCUGGGGAGUACGGUCGCAAGGCUGAAACUCAAAUGAAUUGACGGGGUCAUAGCUG